GCGGGGCCUAUUUGGCUGUGACGCCUAGCUCAGGUUUCUACCUUCCUAUGCCCUAGGGCUCAUCUAAAACCUAAGAUGGCGGCAUUUGCAUAGGGUGUAAGCGCUGCAGGCAUACUUUAUGUGAAAAGACGGCCAAAGGACGAGUCUCCUAAGGAAUGUCCAGAAAUUUGCGGAUAUUUGUGUUGUGGAAGAAGAACUGGAUGAAAACCCUUUUUUGUGGAUUGGUUCCAUUAAUACUUUGUCCCUGAAGUCAAGAAAUACUUUGCCAGUAAGGGACUGCCUUCUAGGGUUCUUCUGAUAUUGGGCAAUGCCCCUGGUGGUCCAGAAUCCCAUUAGUUCAAUACUGAAGGCAUCAAAGGUGAGUGAUUUAUGCCCUCAAACACAAUGUCUCUAAUUCAGCCUAUAGAUCAGAGGGUCAUAAGAUCCUUUAAAGCUCAUUACACACACAGUACUAUAUGGAAAAGUUUGCCAGUGCUAUGGAAGAGAUCCACGAUAGAGUGUCAUAAAAGUGUAGAAGAAUUACACCAUUGGGGAUGUCAUCAUUGUUAUAUAAAAAGCCAUUAAGCCCCAACCAAUAAGUUUCUGAUGGAGAAAACUGUGUCCAGAUGUUGUGCAUGACUUCACAGGAUUUAUUACAGAGCCAAUCAAAUAAAUCAUGAAAUGGAUUGUGGAUAUGACAAAAAGAAAAAAGAAAGAAAGAAUGGGAAGGGGUGAGUGUUUUAAGAGAUGGAUCUUGGAGAAACUCAA